rnacentral:rRNA from 1 species
AGAGUUUGAUCCUGGCUCAGGACGAACGCUGGCGGCACGCUUAACACAUGCAAGUCGAACGGGAGAAGAGGAGCUUGCUUUUCUGAUCUAGUGGCGGACGGGUGAGUAACACGUGAGCAAUCUGCCUUUCAGAGGGGGAUACCGAUUGGAAACGAUCGUUAAUACCGCAUAACAUAAUUGAACCGCAUGAUUUGAUUAUCAAAGAUUUAUCGCUGAAAGAUGAGCUCGCGUCUGAUUAGCUAGUUGGUAAGGUAACGGCUUACCAAGGCGACGAUCAGUGGCCGGACUGAGAGGUUGAUCGGCCACAUUGGGACUGAGACACGGCCCAGACUCCUACGGGAGGCAGCAGUGGGGAAUAUUGCACAAUGGAGGAAACUCUGAUGCAGCGAUGCCGCGUGAGGGAAGAAGGUUUUAGGAUUGUAAACCUCUGUCUUCAGGGACGAAAAAAGACGGUACCUGAGGAGGAAGCUCCGGCUAACUACGUGCCAGCAGCCGCGGUAAUACGUAGGGAGCGAGCGUUGUCCGGAAUUACUGGGUGUAAAGGGAGCGUAGGCGGGAUCGCAAGUCAGAUGUGAAAACUAUGGGCUUAACCCAUAAACUGCAUUUGAAACUGUGGUUCUUGAGUGAAGUAGAGGUAAGCGGAAUUCCUAGUGUAGCGGUGAAAUGCGUAGAUAUUAGGAGGAACAUCAGUGGCGAAGGCGGCUUACUGGGCUUUAACUGACGCUGAGGCUCGAAAGCGUGGGGAGCAAACAGGAUUAGAUACCCUGGUAGUCCACGCCGUAAACGAUGAUUACUAGGUGUGGGGGGACUGACCCCUUCCGUGCCGCAGCAAACGCAAUAAGUAAUCCACCUGGGGAGUACGACCGCAAGGUUGAAACUCAAAGGAAUUGACGGGGGCCUGCACAAGCAGUGGAGUAUGUGGAUUAAUUCGAAGCAACGCGAAGAACCUUACCAGGUCUUGACAUCGUAUGCAUAGCUCAGAGAUGAGCGAAAUCUCUUCGGAGACAUAUAGACAGGUGGUGCAUGGUUGUCGUCAGCUCGUGUCGUGAGAUGUUGGGUUAAGUCCCGCAACGAGCGCAACCCUUACUGUUAGUUGCUACGCAAGAGCACUCUAGCAGGACUGCCGUUGACAAAACGGAGGAAGGUGGGGAUGACGUCAAAUCAUCAUGCCCCUUAUGACCUGGGCCUCACACGUACUACAAUGGCUGUCAACAGAGGGAAGCAAAGCCGCGAGGUGGAGCGAACCCCUAAAAGCAGUCUUAGUUCGGAUUGUAGGCUGCAACCCGCCUACAUGAAGUCGGAAUUGCUAGUAAUCGCAGAUCAGCAUGCUGCGGUGAAUACGUUCCCGGGCCUUGUACACACCGCCCGUCACGCC